GACUCUCGGCAACGGAUAUCUCGGCUCUYGCAUCGAUGAAGAACGUAGCGAAAUGCGAUACUUGGUGUGAAUUGCAGAAUCCCGUGAACCAUCGAGUCUUUGAACGCAAGUUGCGCCCGAAGCCGUGAGGCCGAGGGCACGCCUGCCUGGGUGUCACGCAACGUCGCC
rnacentral:rRNA from 1 species